GAUGAACGCUGGCGGCGUGCCUAAUACAUGCAAGUCGAGCGAACAGACGAGGAGCUUGCUCCUCUGACGUUAGCGGCGGACGGGUGAGUAACACGUGGAUAACCUACCUAUAAGACUGGGAUAACUUCGGGAAACCGGAGCUAAUACCGGAUAAUAUAUUGAACCGCAUGGUUCAAUAGUGAAAGACGGUUUUGCUGUCACCUAUAGAUGGAUCCGCGCCGCAUUAGCUAGUUGGUAAGGUAACGGCUUACCAAGGCAACGAUGCGUAGCCGACCUGAGAGGGUGAUCGGCCACACUGGAACUGAGACACGGUCCAGACUCCUACGGGAGGCAGCAGUAGGGAAUCUUCCGCAAUGGGCGAAAGCCUGACGGAGCAACGCCGCGUGAGUGAUGAAGGUCUUCGGAUCGUAAAACUCUGUUAUUAGGGAAGAACAAAUGUGUAAGUAACUAUGCACGUCUUGACGGUACCUAAUCAGAAAGCCACGGCUAACUAC
rnacentral:rRNA from 1 species